GAUGAACGCUGGCGGCGUGCUUAACACAUGCAAGUCGAACGGAUAGGCCCAAGCUUGCUUGUGUACUCGAGUGGCGAACGGAUGGGUAACACGUGGGGGAUCUGCCCUGUACUUCGGGAUAAGCCGGGGAAACUGGGUCUAAUACCGGAUAGGACGAUGGUUUAGAUGCUAUUGUGGAAAGUUUUUGCGGUGUGGGAUGAGCUUGCGGCCUAUCAGCGUGUUGGUGGGGUAGUGGCCUACCAAGGCGGAGACGGUGAGCCGGCCUGGGAGGGUGUACGGACAGCUUGGGCCUGAGCUACGGCCCAGACUACUACGGGUGGGAGCAGUGGGGAAUAUUGCACAGUGGGAGGAAGCCUGAUGGAGCGAGGCUGCGUGGUGGAUGAAGGCCUUCGGGUUGUAAACUCCUGUCGCUAGGGAAGAAGCGUUUUUGUGACGGUACCUAGAGAAGAAGCCCCGGCUAACUACGUG
rnacentral:rRNA from 1 species